AUCUGGGGGCCUGAUCCAAAGCCCAUUGCAAUGAAUGGGAGUUUUUUCAUUGACUUCAAUGGGCUUUGGAUCAGGCCCCUGGAAU
rnacentral:pre_miRNA from 1 species